UUUGGUAUUAAAUUCAUAAUAAGAAUGAGUUAUAUAUAUAUCAAUAUAUUGGUAGACAUUAUAUACUCGGUCCAAUUUUGUUUUUAAGUGGCAAAAUCAAGAACCGAACUGGUUCAAGUCAAAACCAAUUUUUUUAGUUUUUUUCGAUCUAGUUUGGUUCAACUUAUUGAUUUUCCAGUUCAAAUUCUCACCCAUAUAACCCAAUUUAGUUGCACUUUCACUUCCUUUAAGAUUGAGAGAACCGAAUUGAAACGGUCCUUGCUCUCUUUUUUGUAAAUAACUUAUAACUCAAGUGAUUAAAAGUAGUUAUUCUUGCACCCAAAAUCGUGUUUUGAAUCCCCCUCUCUAAUAUCACUUAUAUGAAACAAAAACAAAAUCUACUCAUAUCUUGCAUAAACCAUUUCAUAUGCCAUUUAAAUUCCCCACUAAAAGAACCAAAUUUAACCAUAAAGCAUUGAGGCAUUUCACACCUCCCUAUUAUACCUACAUUCCCAUAUAGAGUACUCGUUUCCUCAUUUGUGCCCGUCUAGUUACUUUUCCUUUUUCAUUUUUUCAACAUGUAGCCCAAUUACAAUCAAAAUAUUCACAACUUGAUACCCUUUUCUUCUCUUCAUUUUCUAGUGUAUCAAACCAUACUAAAAUUCAUCAUAUACCAUAAAACUUCAAAGUUCAAUAACUAAUAUAGCUACAAUUCAAAUAUCAAUAACUUCAAAGUUCCAUGAAACUUCAAAUUCAAUAUUCAUAUCUAGUGAUUAUCCAAUCAAAGUUCCAUCAAACUUCAAUUCAAAUAUCAUUUUUAUAUAUAAUAAAAAUGAACAUAUACAUAAGCAGACAAUCUGAUUCAGUUUAAGUCAAUUUGCAAAAGCUCAAAAUCAAACCGAACUAAAUCAUUUAUAGUUCAAAUAAGUUUUUAAAGUUUUUGACUUUUUCUUGAUAAAAACCAAAUCAAACAAAACUAGUAAUUUCGGUUUGAUUUGACCGGUUUAGUCGAUUGAACCAAAGUGACCUAAGAGUUUGCUUAUGGCUAGUAGGGAGUCAACGACUUUGAAAGUAGCAUGUCUUACGUUUAUGGCUCUCCUAUUUCAGUUUCCCUUUUCUUAGAGGUUGUAAGUGUUUCUUUUCUUGUCGGUAUCCAUUUUUUCCAUUGUGGUUUGGGCCAUUUUCCCAUUGUAUCUCAUAAGUCUACAUUUAUGUUUCCUUUCUUGCUGAUAUGGCAACGUAUAGUUUCAUGCCAGAAAUCAGAUUGAGAUGCAUCAUUGACCUGAAAUUAAAAUUGAAGUUCAUAUAAUAAUCUACUAAAAAUAAAAUUUACUAGAAUUAUCUCAAUCUUUAAAGAAAUCAAAGAGACUUUACCUGAAAUUGUUAGUUUCCUCUAAUAUCUUAUGUCAAAUUUGUCUUUUGAAUAUAAUCUCAAAUGAUACAUAGAGGAAUUAAGAUGAUAUUCAUCUUCCAC
rnacentral:lncRNA from 1 species